GGAGUUAGCCGGUGCUUCUUCUGCGAGUAACGUCACAGAUGUAAGGUAUUAACUUACACCCUUUCCUCCUCGCUGAAAGUGCUUUACAACCCGAAGGCCUUCUUCACACACGCGGCAUGGCUGCAUCAGGGUUUCCCCCAUUGUGCAAUAUUCCCCACUGCUGCCUCCCGUAGGAGUCUGGGCCGUGUCUCAGUCCCAGUGUGGCUGAUCAUCCUCUCAGACCAGCUAGGGAUCGUCGCCUAGGUGAGCCUUUACCUCACCUACUAGCUAAUCCCACCUGGGCUUAUCCAUCAGCGCAAGGCCCGAAGGUCCCCUGCUUUCCCCCGUAGGGCGUAUGCGGUAUUAGCAGUCGUUUCCAACUGUUAUCCCCCACAAAUGGGCAAAUUCCCAGGCAUUACUCACCCGUCCGCCGCUCGUCAUCUUCAAAGCAAGCUUUUGAAAUGUUACCGCUCGACUUGCAUGUGUUAGGCCUGCCGCCAGCGUUCAAUCUGAACCAGGAUCAAACUCUGA
rnacentral:rRNA from 1 species